GUGUGUGUGUCUCUCGCUCUCUCUCUCUCUGUGUGUGUGUGUGUGAGUGAGAGAGAAGAUGUCCAGAAGAGUGGAGGUGAUCAUCAGCUCCUCAGCUCCGCAGGAUCAGGCAGAGCCUCCUCUUCAGAUCACAGAGUCGAAGCCCGGAGAGCAUCCAGGAGUGAAGGGCUUCUUAAUGAUCAAGCCGGCGGUGCUGGGGGUGAAAACUUGUGCUUUAACAGAUCAUAUCUAGUGCUGAGAGUCUCUGAGCUCGAGCUGAACCUGUGUGUGUGUGUGUGUGAUCCGGCAGUGGCUGGAGAUCCUGACCGGUGCCGGUGUGUUUGGACUCGUAUAUUGGAAUUACACUCUCUGGUUGUUAAUACCGGCUUGCUUUGUGAUUUUAAUAGGAGUUAUAACCGCUACAGCUGCAUGCACCCACAACCCGUGUCUGGUCAGUCCUCAUUCUUACGUUCAGACAGGUAUCUGCAGAGGAGUUCAAUAUUAAAAUAAACUGAUGUUUGUCAUGGUCAGGUGAUCACUUCUCAAGUGCUGAAUCUGCUCAAUAUCUGCAAUGUGGUGACGGCCGUCCUCGUGUUUUUCGUCAGAGUCUUCUUUGUAUUUCUUGGAGAUGUGAGUGAUUGCUUCUGCUGGUAGUUUCUAGUCUCGUUCUGAUCAGAGCACAUCUAAUGC
rnacentral:lncRNA from 1 species